GCCUGAACUUUCUCAUCCAACACCUGUUCAAGUCGGAGGAUGCUGAUUAAUUCAUGAUGGAAAGGUAUCAAUUUCACAGCCCAGACCUCUACAUUCUUGAAAUGCUCUUCUCAUGGGAGACAUUAAAUAAGCUUUGAAUUAACUGAAGAACCAAUGAUGUGAUCCCUGGAUACUGGCAAUUGUUGCCCAAGAAACCCUCUCCCCUUGCUAUGGGAGUGCUGGGCACCCAAAUAAUGCACCCAAAUAAUUUGAUAGCUCUUGUUACACAACUCUUCUUGGACUAAAAGGCCCUCAGCAUUCCUGUCAAUUUCUACACUCCUGAAGCUUCAUCUGACCUCUGUGGAUUCUAUAACUCAAAGACCCAGGCUGACGGCUGGUGGAAUAGCUACCAUCUCAAACAUGGCGUGAUGCUGCAUCAGAGAGAAAAAUAAGCUCUUGCAUUGACAAUGAAAUGUCUACCCUGUAGUGACUUGUGCUUACUUCCACUCACAAGUGAUUGCCCAGAGCUACUUACCUGGCUCCAAUCUACCACUGGGACCUUGUAUUGAAGACAGCGUAACCCCCAAGAGGAAAGGAGCUUGGAGCCCUGAAUCAGAGUAGAAGACAGGCUGAAUGAAUACCAGCCUUGGACUGUUAUGUGAAUGAAAAACAAGUUUUGAGAUUUGUG
rnacentral:antisense_RNA from 1 species